UCUCCAUGAGAAAAUCUUCACAUAAUGAAGUCCAUACUGCAUAGAUUGAAAGUUUAUUAAUAUUAAAGGAGAGAUUUCAGAAGUUUAGGUAAGAAUAUAGGAGGAGAAUGAAACUGUGUCCCAUACCCUAUCCAUGAGCACAGGCCCAGGUGUACCUGGGAUGUGAGUGACAGAAGGUCCUGGUGCUCUAAGGAAAGAAUUAUAUGACCUAUACUCUAAGACAAACAAACAAACAACAACAACAAAACCCACACGCAGAGAAAACCCUAAAAAAGACCCUCCCACAGAUGAUU